rnacentral:rRNA from 1 species
AUUGAACGCUGGCGGCAGGCCUAACACAUGCAAGUCGAACGAGUGGCGGACGGGUGAGUAAUGUCUGGGAAACUGCCCGUUGGAGGGGGAUAACUACUGGAAACGGUAGCUAAUACCGCAUACCCUCGGAUGUGCCCAGAUGGGAUUAGCUAGUAGGUGGGGUAACGGCUCACCGAGGCGACGAUCCCUAGCUGGUCUGAGAGGAUGACCAGCCACACUGGAACUGAGACACGGUCCAGACUCCUACGGGAGGCAGCAGUGGGGAAUAUUGCACAAUGGGCGCAAGCCUGAUGCAGCCAUGCCGCGUGUAUGAAGAAGGCCUUCGGGUUGUAAAGUACUUUCAGCGAGGAGGCGUUACUCGCAGAAGAAGCACCGGCUAACUCCGUGCCAGCCGCCGCGGUAAUAC